rnacentral:piRNA from 1 species
UUGACAAAACUGUUUCCAUAUGUGAACA